UACGAAGGGGGCUAGCGUUGCUCGGAUUGACUGGGCAUAAAGGGCGCGUAGGCGGUUCGUACAGUCAGACGUGAAAUUCCUGGGCUCAACCUGGGGGCUGCGUUUGAUACGUGUGGGCUUGAGUGCGGAAGAGGGUCGUGGAAUUCCCAGUGUAGAGGUGAAAUUCGUAGAUAUUGGGAAGAACACCGGUGGCGAAGGCGGCGACCUGGUCCGUGACUGACGCUGAGGCGCGAAAGCGUGGGGAGCAAACAGG
rnacentral:rRNA from 1 species